rnacentral:rRNA from 1 species
GAUGAACGCUGGCGGCGUGCCUAAUACAUGCAAGUCGAGCGAACAGACGAGGAGCUUGCUCCUCUGACGUUAGCGGCGGACGGGUGAGUAACACGUGUAUAACCUACCUAUAAGACUGGGAUAACUUCGGGAAACCGGAGCUAAUACCGGAUAAUAUAUUGAACCGCAUGGUUCAAUAGUGAAAGACGGUUUUGCUGUCUCUUAUAGAUGGAUCCGCGCCGCAUUAGCUAGUUGGUAAGGUAACGGCUUACCAAGGCGACGAUGCGUAGCCGACGUGAGAGGGUGAUCGGCGACACUGGAGCUGGACCACGGUCCAGGCUCCUACGGGAGGCAGCAGUAGGGAAUCUUCCGCAAUGGGCGAAAGCCUGACGGAGCAACGCCGCGUGAGUGAUGAAGGUCUUCGGAUCGUAAAACUCUGUUAUGAGGGAAAAACAAAUGUGUAAGUAACUAUGCACGUCUUGACGGUACCUAAUCAGAAAGCCACGGCUAACUACGUG